AUGGCAGCUCCGAGAGCACUCGUCCUCGGCGUCCUGCUGCUGAUCGCCGUCUCCGACACCGAGGCGGCGUCCGUCGUCGUCGGCAUGGCCAAGUGCGCCGACUGCACCAGGAAGAACAUGAAGGCCGAGGAAGCCUUCAAGGGUCUUCAGGUGGCGAUCAAGUGCAAGAGCGUCCACGGCGACUACGAGAGCAAGGCGGUGGGUGCCCUCGACCGCACCGGCGCCUUCAGCGUGCCCCUGGCCGCCGACCUCCACGGCGCCGACUGCGUCGCUCAGCUCCACAGCGCUGCCUCCAACACACCGUGCCUCGGCCAGGAGCCAUCCAAGAUCGCGCCGGUGUCCGAGGGCACCACCUUCGGCGUCGUCGCGGGGGCCAAUACCAACGCGUUGGCAUCGCCGGAGUGCGCGUCGGCGACCCUGCUCGGGCCGAUCAAGAAGCACAUCAUGGAGCACUUCCACCACAAGAAGCCCGUGCCGCCCAAACCGGAGCCCAAGCCCUAG
rnacentral:rRNA from 1 species